AACUUUGGACAAUGGGGGAAACCCUGAUCCAGCAAUGCCGCGUGCAGGAUGAAGGCCUUCUGGUUGUAAACUGUUUUUGUACGGAACGACAAGUCUUGGGCAAAGACCCUGGGAUCAUGACGGUACCGUAAGAAUAAGCACCCGCUAACGACGUGCCAGCAUCCGCGGUAAUACGUAGGGUGCAAGCGUUAAUCGGAAUUACUGGGCGUAAAGCGUGCGCAGGCGGUUUUGUAAGACAGUGGUGAAAUCCCCGGGCUCAACCUGGGAACUGCCAUUGUGACUGCAAGGCUGGAGUGCGGCAGAGGGGGAUGGAAUUCCGCGUGUAGCAGCGAAAUGCGUAGAUAUGCGGAGGAACACCGAUGGCGAAGGCAAUCCCCUGGGCCUGCACUGACGCUCAUGCACGAAAGCGUGGGGAGCAAACAGG
rnacentral:rRNA from 1 species